CGCACAUUGCGCCCUCUGGUAUUCCGGAGGGCAUGCCUGUUCGAGCGUCAUUUCAACCCUCAAGCCUGGCUUGGUGUUGGGGCACUGCUUCGAGAGGAGCAGGCCCUGAAAUCUAGUGGCGAGCUCGCUAGGACCCCGAGCGUAGUAGUUAUAUCUCGUUCUGGAAGGCCCUGGCGGCGCCCUGCCGUUAAACCCCCCAACUUCUGAAAAUUUGACCUCGGAUCAGGUAGGAAUACCCGCUGAACUUAA
rnacentral:misc_RNA from 1 species